GGGAUUAAGUCCAAAGGGGUAUAGGGGAAUUUGGAGGGUGAUGGAAAUGUCCUCUCUCUUGACGGUGAUGGUGUUUACAUUCAGAACUAUACAGUUAAAAGGGUGAAUUUGACCAUAUGGAAAUUAAACUUAUACCUGAAACAGCAAACAAAAACCCAGCUCUGUCUGAACCAAAGAAAUUCUGGAUAAGGUAGGGAGAAAAAGUAGCCACGAAAGAAACAAAUGUGGGUGGGGGAAGAGAGGCUGAAGUGUAAAGAAGAAUAAGGGCCGGGUUCAGUGGCUCUCACCUGUAAUUUCAGCACUUUGGGGAGGCCAAGGUGGGUGGAUCUCUUC
rnacentral:lncRNA from 1 species